GGCAAACUUGGCAUGUGAUACGUUUUCGGAAAGCCCAAAGAGAGCCCUCGGACGAAAGAAGCCAGACAAUGGACUUUUCCAUUUACUUUUUGUCAACUCCAAAUUUUGACCUUUAAGUACUUUUUCGGGCAUUUUCGUGAUUUGUGCUAUAUUACGGACCCAAAAUUACUCUUUCAAGCAUUGUUUUCGAAUAUUUUUCAUGCAUCAAAGCUCGUUAAGACUAGAUGGGGUAUCCCUACAUGGCGGGUGGGACCCACGGCGAACGGUUCAUCAAGACUUAAAAAAAGAAUAUAUACGAUUGCAUUGCAUAUACUAACGGAAGCGAUCAUACCAGCACUAAUGCACCGGAUCCCAUCAGAGCUCCGCAGCUAAGCGUGCUUGGGCGAGAGUAGUACUAGGAUGGGUGACCUCCCGGGAAGUCCUCGUGUUGCAUCCCUCUUUUUUUUUUUUUUUUUGGU
rnacentral:rRNA from 1 species